UUAAUACUCCCUCCAUCCAACAAAGGAUGUCUCAAAUUUGAUUAAAUUUGAAUGCAUUUAUACCCUAAUUUAUGUUUAGAUAUAUCUAAAUUUUGACAAGUUUGAGACAUUUUUUGUUGAACUGAGGGAGCAGUAA
rfam:Brachypodium distachyon strain Bd21 chromosome 1, whole genome shotgun sequence.